UAUAGUUUAACUUCAGAAAUGUGUAAAAAGAAUCGCUGUUUGACAUUUAUAAUCAUAUUUGUGUUGUAUAUAAAUGUAAAAUGUGCAUGAAUCUAAUACUUCCUAAUGACGACUGUUCACCAAUGUGCUAUUUCGACAAGUGUUGAGUGGAUAUAUAGGAGACCUGUCGUCACGGUAACCGGUAACCGUCUGUCACCUGCUGCGACGUCAAAUUAUUAACACGACAAUCGAAGGGAAACCACAUCGGCGGAGCACGUCACCAGACACCAGUCGAAUCGUUCAGCCAAUAGCAAUUUAACGUCACCUGAAAUCAAGUAAAGUCACAUAAACAAGUAAGAGCUUGGUUAUAAAUCAUGACUUAAAACAUGAAAGACAUCAGGGGCGGGACGUAGCCUUGUCUUAAAAACACUUGCUUCAUGCGCGGUCGAUCUAGGAUCGAUCCUCGUCGGUGGAUCCAUUUGGGCUAUUUCUAGUUCCAGCCAG